rnacentral:rRNA from 1 species
UACGUAGGUGGCAAGCGUUGUCCGGAAUUAUUGGGCGUAAAGAGCUCGUAGGCGGUUUGUUGCGUCUAUCGUGAAAACCUGCAGCUUAACUGUGGGCUUGCGGUGGAUACGGGCAGACUUGAGUUCGGUAGGGGAGACUGGAAUUCCUGGUGUAGCGGUGAAAAUGCGCAGAUAUCAGGAGGAACACCGGUGGCGAAGGCGGGUCUCUGGGCCGAUACUGACGCUGAGGAGCGAAAGCGUGGGGAGCGAACAGG